rnacentral:sRNA from 1 species
GGAAUGGAGCCAGUUCCUAUUUCAUGUAGCUGUGUUGAGACUAGUGUGCUUCCUGUAAAUUGUUCAGAACAGAGCCUGAUGUGCUUACCAUUGCUUUUGGUGUCAUUAUUGUAGUACUUUGCUUUUCACUGGGUGCAAGACAAAAUCUCAAUGAGAAGUAGUAGGUAGGCAGGAGUUCUUACAAGCAGGAAGCAAUGGUAGACACUUGACUUUUUAGGUAGGAGUUGGCUAUGGCAGGUGUAAGAGCUGAGUCUGAUUUGCAGGCCUUGCCUUGGUCGCAUUCUAGGCAGCCACAGCAGCCCACAUCACAGUUGGGUGCCCCAUGUGGAGAGUUGUUUAAUAAAUACCCUUCGCUGAUGAUCACAAUGGAGUUUUAUGGUUGCUCUCAGCCUACACGAUACAGAAGUAUAGAAGUAGUUUAAUCUGUAACGGAACACGGAUUUUCCUAUAUUGCCUAUUAAGCUCUCAUUGUGAAAGCCAGUAACUUGUACUCUGAUAGAAAUGAGUCUGCAGUGAUAGUAAUUUAACAAGAAAGUUAGUGUGGAAGCCAAGCUCCCUUUCACGUGCCUUAAAUUUUACCUUUAGUGUCUCAAUGCAUUUUGCAUCUGAGCUUGGCAGUUAAUGGUCUCUGUAAUAAAUUCAAAGUCAAGUUGAGCCCAUGUGGAAUUCUCAAGUCUGUGUGUCUUUGCAAGGCCCUCAUGCCAUCUAGGCUCCUUCCUGGUCAUUUUUUACCAAGUUGAUUGUUUUGUAACAAAUAAUUUACUGAUUGGAAUUCGGAUUGAAUGCUACAGCAGGAAGCAAUCUAUUCUCAAGAACCUGAAGGUUUUUUAGCUGUCUCCUGUUUUGUUGCUAACCUCUUACAAACUGUGGCAACAUCAAGCAGUUCAUAUUCAAGUAAGUUAAAAAGAACAUUUCUACAACCUCUUGUUUUAUUAUUAAUUUGGUUGCAAGCUCAUGGCAGGUAAGGUUUGCGCAUGAUUAGGCAUAUUUGGAAAUUACCAUUGUGGUCAAGAAGAAUCAAAGAAAAGGUCUUUACUACUCAUGUGAUAACUAACAUCCCAUCUGAGUUUAGCCUGUAAACCUUUAACACUGUAUCAAUCCUUCAUCUGAUUUCUUUCAUGCACAGGAGUUGGGGGUGGGGAAAGAUGAAGCACAUAGUCACCUUCUGGCUGCUUUGUUCCUGCCUCUUUUGAUCUCCCAACCUAUAUUGAUAGCUUAAAAUGUCCGUCCUAUUUUCUUUACUUUCCCCCACUCCCUUCAUCUGGUCCCUGUCGGACAGUGAUACAGAUAUAUCGCUAAAUAUCAGCUAUCAAUAAACCAGUAGACUUAAUUAAAGAAAAACAUUGUGUAAUUUGCUGUAAGCACUUUUCUCAGAUUACCAUUAAUUGACUCUGUCCAUAGAUCAUUCACUACAAUGUUUUAUCUUUAUUGGAUUCCUGAUUUUUUUCCAAAAUAUUUUACCUUCCAAGCAUAAAAUGACAUGAUCAAAAUGUUGUUUGUUGGUAUGAAGAUACACUGUAAAUCAAACUGGUCCCUACUACUACAGGUAUAUAAUUCUAUGGUGGAAGGUGGCCAGGACCCUAGAGAUGAUAUGAAAUCUCCACCAUCUGCAGCCCUUAGAAGUAGGGCGGUAUGCAUCAAAAGAAGUGUAAAACAGUCUUGGCUCUUGAGGAGAAAGUCAAGGUAAGCUUACACAGGGUUCAGAAGACUGUUGAGACGGAAGGGAUCAAAACUAUCCAUCACUUCCAGAAAUUCUAGUGUCCCUGUGAUACUGAGUUCCUGUCUUGGAGUUUCUGAUCGCAGGCUGUCAUAAGGGAAGCAUAAGAUGGAGUGAAUCCUUUUCUCCACACGCUUGGUUACGGUUGGUGUUUUAUCACAGCAACUGAGGAACAGCCUAGAACAACUGGCAAAGAGAAGACAUAGUGGUUCACAGUAGCUGGGAGAAUUAGCUUCCCAACUUUGCAUUCAGUGACUUCUUGCUGGCAACCUGGAAUUGGUCCUAGUGGGUAGGAGUAUUAGCACCACGAGAAGUGAAGACGUGGCAGACGUUUUAAAGUGGUAAGUGAUAUUUUGCAUACCCUUCGGAGAGUCAGUUGUUAACACUUGUCUGUAAAACCCUUUUAAGAAACUAUGCCUUUCCCUGGUCAGAUGUAUAGCUGGCAAAUAAUAUUUUCCCAUUCUAUUAGGCUGCUGCUUCAGUUGAUUUACAGUUUCCUUUUCAGUACAGAAACAAAAUGGAUGUAGUGUCAAGCUGCCCUCUAAGUUUGUAUCUCUGUUUCCACAGAUGAGUGUCGCUCUCAGAACUCAGAGCUAUUUAUGUGUGCAACGGAUGGUAGUUAACACAGAAACUCACAAGAGGUCAAAGUAUAGACAAUGCGUGGAGUGCUCAGUCCCAAACACAGUACCUGUACUAUUUCCCCAACCUUCCGAUGAGAGAUCAUAUUAGAUAAUGGGGCGGGAAGAUUUUACAAAGCAAAGCUCAUGGAGGACCAGAGUGAAACUGUCUAAUGGACAUGGUGGGACCCCUGCAUUGAGACGACAUGGAAAAGGUGGAAAGGUCACCAUAUACAAUGUAAGGUGAAAGCUUUCACCAGGAACCAAAACAGCUGACAUACUGAUCUUAGACUUCCCAGAAUCCAAACUCUGAAGUAAAUUUGUUGUUUAAGGUAUAUGAAAACACGACCACGCUGUCCUGUUGGUCCCAGUCUGGUCAUUACUCACUUCUGUUACAACAAGGGUGUGAGAGUUUGCAAGGCCAUCCCACAUUUUAACUGAUUUUGCUACAUGUUUCCUGUGCUUGGUCAUGUACUCUGUUAAGACUGCUUUGAAAGAACGUUACAUCUCAGGGAUGGAGUCGUAAUCCAUCAGCAGUAAUGGUUCUGCAGUAGAGAACUUGUAAUGUCCUUGGAGAGGGUUCAGUUCGCUUCUCAGAACCCACCUCAAAACUUCUUGUAACUCUGACUCCAAGGGACCCAAAACCCUUUCCUAUGUUCCAUAGGUUCUUGCACCUCAUACGUAUUUACACAAAUACAUAAUUAAAAUAAAAGAAAUUAAAAAAAUACUACCACCCAUAAGCUUAAAUGGUAAUUACAAAAGCAAAUAUUUCCCUUUCUAAGUUCUAAGUCAGUAUAAAAUAUGCAUUUAUUUCACCAAUUCAUACAGUAGCUUUAAGAUUUUUCUCUGUGCUGAAGUGAUUUAAUGAAAGAACGUAAGGUUGAAAAUCAAUACAAGAAGAAAAUCAAGUAGAACUUGUUAGUAGAGAAGUGUCAGACCAUCCUUCCGUGCUGAUCCCUUCUCUAGCCUGUGUUUCUCAGGGAUCCUAGAGGGCAUAGUUUUGACAUCACUGUAUUAAGCUAUAAAACUUAUUAUAAACAAUUUUUGUUUUACAAAAGCUAUUCGUUUGGCAGAAGACAGCAAGCUAUGAACCCAUCCCAUCUUGCCAUUGCUGGGUUUGGUGCUUCACUAAGCACUCUGAAGACUUUAUUCUCUUUAUUAACCUUCCUUUCCUCCACAAUUGCUACAUCAUUGUUCCACCAAUGCCCUUGAGAGACUAAAGCCAACAACUUGGUUAACAGCAUCCUGUACUCAGUAAUAAACACAGUGUUUCCAUAGACUUUAUCCUUUUACUACUGUUCUAUGUUUCUGGCUGAUGGCACACAAUGCUGCUGUCAGACUUUGACCUGGAGCCACGCUUCUGCAUGCUCUCCCAAGAUCAUAGAAGCUUUUCCAUAAAGAAAAUCUAUAAAGCUGACAUUCAUGGGUCUUAAAUUAACUAUCCGACCCAAAUUAACUUAUUGACCUUCACUGAGCUUUGAUUUUUCUAAUCUGUAAAAUAGAUCAGUGGCAUUGACUUGACCUAAAUAAUACAAA